UUCUUAUUACUGACUGCUUGGACAUGUAAUCGCUAUGAACGGAGGUCUGCUUCACUGUCAUCUGCCAUCAUGGUCAUCUCUUACACUGGAGUUCUCCACACUUCCAUGGUCCAUGCUGGGGGAGGUCUUUCCUACAGAUAUGUGUGGGUCAAUAUUAAUGAUCUAUUAAUUUGAACAAAUAUCAUACUGUAGUUGAAACCUGUAAAAGUAAAAUAAAAAAGUACCUUUCAUAUAUUUUC